rnacentral:lncRNA from 1 species
AUUGAGGGCAGCACCUAGCAUGGGACCUGGCUCACUUUACGAGCAGAAACAAUGAGGCGCUUAGAGGGGUGACCUUCCCAGGUCCUGUGGGUGAGAACAGGCCUGGCCUGCCUCCGGCCCCCUCCACCGACCCGGUGUGGCUGCCGCUCACUGGACCCUCCAAGGAGGAAAUGGAGGCGAGGACAGCAUGGGUGGAGAGCCAGGCCCAGCACCCGGUCCCCUGCUCUGCAGGAAGCCCCUGCAGAUGCGGCACAGAGCUCACCACGGGCCCUGCCCACCUGCCCACCCAGCAGCAGAGGCACAGCCCUCCAGCCAGAAGCAGGCCCGCGCCAGGAGCCCGCCUUCAGCUUAGGGCAGAAGUAGAUGCUCCACCCCAGCGUUUUGCAGCUCAGUGACUUUGUCACCCAGACAAAUGCCUGGAGACAUUUUUCCUUGUUUCCACAAGGAGCAGAGGGUGCUACUGGCUCCUGGCACGCAGUGGGCGGAGGCCGGGGAUGCUGCAAAGCAUCUUGCAAUGAACAGGACAGGCCCACAACAGAGAUUCAUCCGGCCCUGAAUGUCACGAGUGCCCAGGCUGAGCCAGCCUGCCCCACACCUUCCUCCCUCCAUGCCUUCGCUCAGGCUGCCCUUCUGCCUGGCGUGCCCUGGCCCACUCAGUCAGCUGGUUAAACUUCUUCACUGCUCGGAUCCUGUUGCCUCCUUCUCCAGAUCUGCCAUCCUCUGGCUGUGUGACUUUAGGAUCCAGUCCCAGGUACCACACGGCACUGAGUUGUCACACCUCUUCAGGCUUCUCUGGUCUGUGACAGUUUCUCAGACUUUCCUGGCUUUUCAUGAACCCUUGG